rnacentral:rRNA from 1 species
AUUGAACGCUGGCGGCAGGCCUAACACAUGCAAGUCGAACGCGUGGCGGACGGGUGAGUAAUGUCUGGGACACUGCCUGAUGGUGGGGGAUAACUACUGGAAACGGUAGCUAAUACCGCAUACCAUCGGAUGUGUCCAGAUGGGUUUCGCUAGUAGGUGGGGUAAAGGCUCACCUAGGCGACGAUCCCUAGCUGGUCUGAGAGGAUGACAAGCCACACUGGAACGGAGACACGGGCCAGACACUGACGUGAGGCAGCAGGGAGGAAUAUUGAACAAUGGGCGCAAGCCUGAUGCAGCCAGGCCGCGUGUAUGAAGAAGGCCUGCGGGUUGUAAAGUACUUUCAGCGGAGAGGCGUUACCCACAGAAGAAGCACCGGCUAACUCCGGGCCAGCGGCCGCGGAAAUU